GACGAACGCUGGCGGCGUGCUUAACACAUGCAAGUCGAACGGAAAGGCCCUGCUCUUGUGGGGUGCUCGAGUGGCGAACGGGUGAGUAACACGUGAGUAACCUGCCCUUGACUUUGGGAUAACUUCAGGAAACUGGGGCUAAUACCGCAUAGGAGCUCCUGCUGCAUGGUGGGGGUUGGAAAGUUUCGGCGGUUGGGGUUGGACUCGCGGCUUAUCAGCUUGUUGGUGGGGUAGUGGCUUACCAAGGCUUUGACGGGUAGCCGGCCUGAGAGGGUGACCGGCCACAUUGGGACUGCGGUACGGCGCAGACUCCUACGGGAGGCAGAAGGGGGGAAUAUUGCACAAUGGGCGGAAGCCUGAUGCAGCAACGCCGCGUGCGGGAUGACGGCCUUCGGGUUGUAAACCGCUUUCGCCUGUGACGAAGCGUGAGUGACGGUAAUGGGUAAAGAAGCACCGGCUAACUACGUG
rnacentral:rRNA from 1 species